rnacentral:rRNA from 1 species
UAAGUAAUUAUUUAAAAGUGUGGUAGUUGAGGGUUUUAGGGGUGCAAUCUGAGGAGCCUUGAAAUUUUUUUGCUUGCUUGUUUAGUGAAGCCACGUAGACUGUACUAUAAAAGGACCAGGAUUAGAUACCCUGUUACUGCAGGGGUUAAGUGUGGCCAAUAAAAAUUAGAAGGUUUGCUAGGCGACUACGCCGAAGAGGUCAAAGUCGAAGUACUUGGCGGUCUAAAAUCACCUACCCGCGAGACUUGACGGUUAAUCUGAUGAUCCGCAUUUAAUUGUACUUGUUCUUGAGGUUAAUCAGUCGGUGUAUGGUCGUCAGAGGUUUAUGUCGUGAGAUUUGGGUAGUAGGCCAGAGCUUUCGAGCACUGUGUCUUUGGCGCAGGUGUUUUGGGAGUCGAGGUCAGAUCGUUAUGCUGCCUAUGGACAAGGCUUAGUUGAGUCACAUUGAGUAGAUCUGUUGUGGAUCCAAGGAAAUAGGAAGAGCCGGGUGAAAAAGGAGUGGGAAGUAAUAAAAAAUUAAAUACGUUUUUUU